GAUGAACGCUGGCGGCGUGCCUAAUACAUGCAAGUCGAGCGAACAGACGAGGAGCUUGCUCCUCUGACGUUAGCGGCGGACGGGUGAGUAACACGUGGAUCACCUACCUAUAAGACUGGGAUAACUUCGGGAAACCGGAGCUAAUACCGGAUCAUAUAUUGAACCGCAUGGUUCAAUAGUGAAAGACGGUUUUGCUGUCACUUAUAGAUGGUUCCGCGCCGCAUUAGCUAGUUGGUAAGGUAACGGCUUACCAAGGCAACGAUGCGUAGCCGACCUGAGAGGGUGAUCAGCCACACUGGAACUGAGACACGGUCCAGACUCCUACGGGAGGCAGCAGUAGGGAAUCUUCCGCAAUGGGCGAAAGCCUGACGCAGCAACGCCGCGUGAGUGAUGAAGGUCUUCGGAUCGUAAAACUCUGUUAUUAGGGAAGAACAAAUGUGUAAGUAACUAUGCACGUCUUGACGGUACCUAAUCAGAAAGCCACGGCUAACUACGUG
rnacentral:rRNA from 1 species